rnacentral:rRNA from 1 species
UACGGAGGGGGCUAGCGUUGUUCGGAAUUACUGGGCGUAAAGCGCGCGUAGGCGGAUCUGCAAGUCGGGGGUGAAAUCCCGAGGCUCAACCCCGGAACUGCCUUCGAUACUGCGGGUCUCGAGUCCGGGAGAGGUGAGUGGAAUUCCUAGUGUAGAGGUGAAAUUCGUAGAUAUUAGGAAGAACACCAGUGGCGAAGGCGGCUCACUGGCCCGGUACUGACGCUGAGGCGCGAAAGCGUGGGGAGCAAACAGG